CCUAACACAUGCAAGUCGAACGGCAGCACAGUCGUAGCAAUACGAUGGGUGGCGAGUGGCGGACGGGUGAGGAAUACAUCGGGACCUACCUAGACGUGGGGGAUAACGUAGGGAAACUUACGCUAAUACCGCAUACGUCCUACGGGAGAAAGCGGGGGAUCUUCGGACCUCGCGCGGUUAGACGGACCGAUGUUCGAUUAGCUAGUUGGUGGGGUAACGGCUUACCAAGGCGACGAUCGAUAGCUGGUCUGAGAGGAUGAUCAGCCACACUGGGACUGAGACACGGCCCAGACUCCUACGGGAGGCAGCAGUGGGGAAUAUUGGACAAUGGGCGCAAGCCUGAUCCAGCAAUGCCGCGUGUGUGAAGAAGGCCUUCGGGUUGUAAAGCACUUUUACCAGGAGCGAAAUACCAUCGGCUAAUACCCCGGUGGGGCUGACGGUACCUGAGGAAUAAGCACCGGCUAACUUCGUGCCAGCAGCCGCGGUAAUACGAAGGGUGCAAGCGUUAAUCGGAAUUACUGGGCGUAAAGCGUGCGUAGGCGGUGAGUUAAGUCUGCUGUGAAAUCCCCGGGCUCAACCUGGGA
rnacentral:rRNA from 1 species